CUCUGUUUUAGCCAGUUUUUCCUUCAGCUUCUUGCACUCAUCCAGGCUCCUCUGGAGCUCCUGCUGCAGCUCCUUUAAACCCGCUGCUGUCCUUCUGUCAGCCUGACUCUUCUGGUGGUAAAAACAGAAUAUAGGUUAGAAACGUUGGACUGGAGUUUUCUCUAAGACAGAAACUCUUGCUGCACUCUGCAAACUUAUUUGCUCCGGUAAAGUCUCCUGAGUGAGAGGGAGAAGGACGCCCCGUCCGUCCGUCCGAGCCUCCGGGAGGAGUCCGCCGCUCCACCUCCAGGGAGGAGCGCAGAAACUCGCCCACCCACUCAAAAACACGGCGGCAGCGCCGCGGCGGAGCGGAUUUCCACGCCACAGACCUGGAAGGACCUGCAGGACAGUUUGGACCGAGUCGACUUUUCACACGCCCUGAAACCAGCAGAGGGUAAUUUUUAAAAAGCUACAUUAUGGACGGAAAUAAAUAAAAAUAAAUAAAUAAAAUAAAAACUGCAA